rnacentral:rRNA from 2 species
UCGAGGAUCUUCGGCAAUGGGCGCAAGCCUGACCGAGCGACGCCGCGUGUGCGAUGAAGGCCUUCGGGUUGUAAAGCACUGUCGAGGGGGAGAAAGCCGAAAGGUUGAUCUAUCCCUGGAGGAAGCACGGGCUAAGUUCGUGCCAGCAGCCGCGGUAAGACGAACCGUGCGAACGUUGUUCGGAAUCACUGGGCUUAAAGGGCGCGUAGGCGGGCUGCAAAGUCCGGGGUGAAAUCCUCCCGCUCAACGGGAGAACGGCCUCGGAUACUUGCGGUCUCGAGGGAGGUAGGGGCGUGCGGAACUAUGGGUGGAGCGGUGAAAUGCGUUGAUAUCCAUAGGAACUCCGGUGGCGAAGGCGGCACGCUGGACCUUUUCUGACGCUGAGGCGCGAAAGCCAGGGGAGCAAACG